rnacentral:sRNA from 3 species
CGAGGAUGAGAACCUCCGGGGGCAAGAGGUUCGACCCGAGCGAAGCGAGAGAACGUUGCGUCAGCAACGGCCCGCAGGGCGAGCCACGCAGUGGCGAGUCAUCCUCUAUCACCGACCA